UACAGCCUCUGACUGGUUCUAAAGCAGCUUUCCCAAGGCAGGAGGAGGGGGAGACGCCGCCUGGACUCCGAGAAGUUGGGGCGAGCUGAAUUCUAAGUGUCUAGAAGGGGCCUAGCACAGAACCGGUGCUCGAGAAAUAUUUGUGAAAGGAAUGAGAGAGAUGCAGUAAAUACAUGCAGCCUCUGUCUCCCACUGACUGUAAAACCUGGGCGGAGUAUACGAUACAGUUAUUUGAAGUCUCUGAACACUGCACCUCCUUCCCCAGCACCCCUCGUCACCCACCCUUUCUGAGCGGAGCUGGCCAGUGACUCUGUGUUGACCCAGCAAAGCUGUGCCCAGUUCUCCAGGGACCUUGUGUGUGUAUGUGUGCGCAUGUGACCAAGUCCCCUCUGCUUGUAACAACGAUACUUAGAUAUCCUAGUCUCACUUCCCGUCUGGACAUAAAGAAGGAAUUUAUUCAGAGAAUGAGGCUCGCAGCAGCAUGCAAUGUGUGUACAGCUAAAGCUCAGGCUUUCUAAACUCUGACUCCCUGCCCAGUGCUCUUCAGUGACAGCCUGCCUUUGGGUUUGGGUCCACGUCAAAAAGCCCAAGAGGUCCCCAGGAUCUAGGUUGCGGUUAGGGGGACCCGGAUGUGGGGCCGGAUGGAUGGGCUGGCGUCGUGACAAGCAUGCGAUGUCGUGGAGAAGAUGCUGCAGGUGUUUGGAGAACCAGCGUCAGAGGCUCUCUGGUGGCCAGGAGGGGCCGCCAGCUGGACUCAGUGGCCCUGUUGAUGUGGAUGCUGGAGGAAAGCUGGCAGAAAUCCCAGCAGACCCUUCACUGCCCUUGAUCAAUGACCAUGGGCCCUGCCCUCCUCCAGAGGGUUGAAAGGAACGGGAAAGCAAAUCCAGACCACGGCUCAUCCAGAGCCUGGAGGCUGAGCCGGGUACAGCAGCGGAGGAUGAAAUGCCCCACGAGCACCCCUUUCAGGAAUGUCAGCCGGAGAAAUGCACAGACUGUCAGGAGCAUUUCUUAGGCACUUGCCCAGGCUGCCUUGGCCCCGCAGGACUCACCUCCACCAUCUCACUGCCUACGGGAAGCCCGGAAAUAGGUCAGCUUGAAGGGAGGAGGCGCUGUGGGGGCUCGGGGGGCUCAGAGGCGAGGGCCCAGGCCCCCAUCCUGGCACAGCUGCCCCACUGAGCCUGCGCUCAAGGAGAUGAGGGGAAGGGCUGCUCUAGAGGGUCAAGUUCCUGCCAGACCCGCCAUUGAACUGAGCUCUAUGGAAGAACAAAAAUAAAAGCCUGUCAGAGGCCCGCUGACUCAGAGCAGUGGCGCUGGCCUUGGCCGGCUGUUCCUGCUCCUGACCUAGCCGCUUGGUCCAGAUGCCCUUGCUACAUAGCCUCCCUUCGCAGUGAACUCUCCCCGAAGCCCACUUGGUUCCAAUCCCGAGCCCCCAGACCCAAGUUUGCUUGCCCGCCUCUGCAUCCAUCCCCCAUCUGUAAAGUGGGGGUAACAGGAAUACUCACGCACUGGGUGGUCCUCAGGAUUAAACCUCAGGGUUAAAAGUCAAGUACUUCGAACUGGUAAGUGCCUGGUAAAUGUGUGAGCUGCCACUAGUGCUACUAUUAUUUUUUCUUCCUUCUUCGGCCACACCAGUGGCAUAUGGAAGUUCCCCAGG